CCUACGGGAGGCAGCAGUAGGGAAUAUUGCUCAAUGGGGGAAACCCUGAAGCAGCAACGCCGCGUGGAGGAUGAAGGUUUUCGGAUUGUAAACUCCUUUUGUCAGAGAAGAUAAUGACGGUAUCUCACGAAUAAACACCGGCUAAAUCCGUGCCAGCAGCCGCGGUAAUACGGAGGGUGCAAGCGUUAAUCGGAAUCACUGGGCGUAAAGGGCGCGUAGGCGGGAUAGCAAGUCAGAUGUGAAAUCCUAUGGCUUAACCAUAGAACUGCAUUUGAAACUGUUAUUCUAGAGUAUGGGAGAGGUAGGUGGAAUUCUUGGUGUAGGGGUAAAAUCCGUAGAGAUCAGGAGGAAUACUCGUUGCGAAGGCGACCUGCUAGAACAUAACUGACGCUGAUGCGCGAAAGCGUGGGGAGCAAACAGGAUUAGAUACCCGGGUAGUC
rnacentral:rRNA from 1 species